CACCUCCUUCACAUAAAUGGAAGGUCCAUGAGGACAGUAACUUGUCUGAUCUGUUUCUCAAUGUAUUUCCUGAUAUGUGGAACAGUGCCUGGCUCCCAGACAGGUUUCUAAGACAGCCACCGAUGGGUCCUACCUCCUCGUAUUCACAUCCUAUGUAAUCUCCUCCCCAGUGUGGGCUGGACCUGGUGACUUGCUUCCAGUGAAUAGAAUACAGCAAAAGUGAUUGAUGUCACCUCCAAGAUUCAGCUAUAGAAGACUAUGACUAUGACUUCCCUCUUGGCUAGCAUUCUCACUAACCCUUCCUGCUUGCUUGUACUGAGCUGCCCUAUGAAGAGGCCCAUGUAGGGUGGCCUGGGUGGGGGUGAUCUGUGGCCAACAGCCAGCAAGGAACUAAAUCCUGUUUACAACCACAUGAGCUUGGAAGGAGAUCCUUCCCCAGUAAAGCCAGGAGAUGAAUACAGCCCCAGCCUCCAGCUUCAUUGCAGCAUCGUGAGACACCCACAAGGAGGACUCAGCUAAGCCACAGCCAGAAUUCUGUCCCACAGAACUUCAAGACAACUAGUGCUGUUGCUUUUCAGCUGCAGAGUUUUGACAUAAUUUGUUGUAUAGCAAUAGCCAGCUAGUUAUCAAUAACCACUAUUGCUCCUAUUGUUUCUCACCACAUAUCCAUAUAGUCAUGAGGAAACUUCUUUAAACGAGACAAAGAAUCAGAACUAAUAAAAGAUAAGCAAAUUCCUUUAAA